rnacentral:rRNA from 1 species
GACGAACGCUGGCGGCGUGCUUAACACAUGCAAGUCGAACGAAGAGCGAUGGAAGCUUGCUUCUAUCAAUCUUAGUGGCGAACGGGUGAGUAACGCGUAAUCAACCUGCCCUUCAGAGGGGGACAACAGUUGGAAACGACUGCUAAUACCGCAUACGAUCUAACCUCGGCAUCGAGGAUAGAUGAAAGGUGGCCUCUACAUGUAAGCUAUCACUGAAGGAGGGGAUUGCGUCUGAUUAGCUAGUUGGAGGGGUAACGGCCCACCAAGGCGAUGAUCAGUAGCCGGUCUGAGAGGAUGAACGGCCACAUUGGGACUGAGACACGGCCCAGACUCCUACGGGAGGCAGCAGUGGGGAAUCUUCCGCAAUGGACGAAAGUCUGACGGAGCAACGCCGCGUGAGUGACGACGGCCUUCGGGUUGUAAAGCUCUGUUAAUCGGGACGAAAGGCCUUCUUGCGAAUAGUUAGAAGGAUUGACGGUACCGGAAUAGAAAGCCACGGCUAACUACGUG